ACUUUGAUUAUGGCUCGGGAUGAACGCUAGCGGCAGGCUUAACACAUGCAAGUCGAGGGGUAACAGGGUAGUGCUUGCACUAUUGCUGACGACCGGCGCACGGGUGCGUAACGCGUAUAGAACCUACCUUUUACAGGGGGAUAGCCUUUAGAAAUGAAGAUUAAUACCCCAUAGUGUUGGAACCUGGCAUCAGGGACUAAUUAAAGUUUCGCCGGUAAAAGAUGGCUAUGCGUCUUAUUAGCUAGUUGGUAUGGUAACGGCAUACCAAGGCAACGAUAAGUAGGGGCCCUGAGAGGGGGAUCCCCCACACUGGUACUGAGACACGGACCAGACUCCUACGGGAGGCAGCAGUGAGGAAUAUUGGUCAAUGGAGGGAACUCUGAACCAGCCAUGCCGCGUGCAGGAAGACUGCCCUAUGGGUUGUAAACUGCUUCUAUACAGGAAGAAACCUUUCCACGUGUGGGGAGCUGACGGUACUGUAAGAAUAAGGAUCGGCUAACUCCGUGCCAGCAGCCGCGGUA
rnacentral:rRNA from 1 species